CUUUUUUUCACAAAGGGAACUUGAGUUGUCAAAGCACAGGGGUAUAUGCCCUCUCUCACUUCACCUCCUCACAUUUCUCUCUCUCCCUCUCUCUCGACCGAAAGUCGGCCACAAACCCUCUCGUCCUCUUCUUCUUCCUUCCUUUUUCAUACUCAUAAUUCGAAUCACAACACCCAGAACUCCAAAUACGGAGGUGGGAAAAUCUCAGAACCAAUAAGGGAAGGAGAAAAGAGACGUUUUUUUGGGGGGGGAAUAAAUAGGUUGAAAAGAUAAAAUGGAUUCAGAUCAAGGAAAGCUAUUCAUUGGUGGGAUUUCAUGGGAAACCACAGAGGAGAAGCUCAAGGAGUAUUUUGAGAACUAUGGUGAAGUGUUGCAGACAGUUGUUAUGAGGGAAAAGUUCACUGGGAAACCUAGAGGAUUUGCUUUUGUUGUUUUUUCAGAUCCCUCUGUCCUCGAUAGGGUUCUUCAGGAAACUCAUACCAUUGAUGGUAGAACGGUUGAUGCUAAGAAGGCCUUAUCAAGAGAAGAGCAACAAACGUCUGCACGAUCUGGAAAUCCUAAUCCUGGUAGAAAUGCUGGUGGUGGCGGUGGUGGAAAUAUGAGGACCAAGAAGAUUUUUGUUGGAGGGUUACCUCCUACUUUAUCUGAAGAGGGAUUUCGUGAAUAUUUUGAGUCCUUUGGACAUGUAACUGAUGUAGUAGUUAUGUAUGAUCAAAAUACAGGACGACCAAGAGGUUUUGGAUUUAUUUCUUUUGAUUCUGAAGAUGCAGUUGAUAGGGUUUUGCAUAAGACAUUUCAUGAUUUAAAUGGUAAGCAAGUAGAAGUGAAGCGAGCUCUUCCUAAAGAUGCCAAUCCUAGUGGAGGUGGCCGUUCCAUGGGCGGCGGCGGCGGCGGCGGCUAUCAAGGAUAUGGUGCAUCUGGUGGCAAUCAAAAUUCAUAUGAUGGACGUAUGGAUUCCAGCAGAUUUAUUCAACCUCAGAAUACUGGGGGUGCUUUUCCUCCUUAUGGCUCUUCAGGGUAUGGUGCGCCUAGCUAUGGUUAUGGUCCUUCAAAUAAUGGAAUGGGCUAUGGGGGUUAUGGAAAUUAUGCUAGUGCAAAUACUGGCUAUACUAGCCCAGCUAGUGCUGCCUAUGGGAAUCCUAAUGCCGCAAAUCCUGCUUAUGGAAGUGGUCCACCAGGUGGCCGAAGUUCAUGGAGCGGACAGAAUCCUGCUGGAUAUGGUGCUAUGGGCUAUGGUAAUACUGCUCCUUGGGGCGUUACAGGCAGUGGAACUGGUGCAGGGAAUGGUUCUGCACCUGCAGGUCAAUCACCAAGUGCUGCUGGAUAUGGGACUCAAGGUUAUGGCUACAGUGGGUAUGGUGGCAGUGACGGGUCCUAUGGGAAUUCUGCUGGGUACGGUGCUGUUGGAGGGCGUUCUGGGAGUGGUCCAAACAGCGGUAGUGGUGAUCUCCAAGGAAGUGGUGGUGGUUACCUAGGAGGUGGCUAUAGUGAUGCAAAUGGAAAUGCGGCAUGGAGGAGUGAUCCAUCACAAGCAUCUGGAAAUUAUGGGGCUCCACAGACCAAUGGUCAAUCUGGUUAUGCUGGUGCUGGUUAUGGCAGCGGUCAGCCCCGACAAGCUCAACAACAGUAAUUUUAAUGGUUGGAAGUUUUUAUUGAAUCUUCAUUAAUGGAUCAGCAGCGUGAGGUCGUGGUUUCUCAUGGCCAGCUGCAGCAGCCUCAAUUUGGAUGUCAAUACUCUUUGGGACUGGAGGAGAGGUGCACGGGUUCUAAAGUGAAUGAAGUGUCCACUCAUGGCUGAACAUGAGCUUCGCAGUGGGUGCAUCUUCACUGGGGUUGUGUUCAGAAUGGAUGGAAUAUUGAGGAGUUUGUUCAGUUGAAAUUAUGCUUUUUCAUGAGACAAUUCAUUCCUUCAGCCAGGCCAACGUUGUGAAACUUUGCAUAUUCCUCGGCAUUCCAAGUCACUAAUUUUCUUAUCACGUGCUUUUCUGUUUGCCCGAUGGAAUUUGCGAGGACAACAGCCUACGGUAUGUUGAGUAAAGCAAACAGCAAAAUGCUGCAUCUUUCUAGAAUUUGAUUGUAUAAGACUUGUCUUUAGUUCCUACCUAGAGCUAUCCUUGGAUAUGGAUCUAAAUGUUUAGACUAUCAGAAAGGUGUUACAAACACUUGUCAUAAAAUUUUGGAAUGAAGUAGUAGAUCUUCUAAUA